UUGCUAUGAAUCCACGGAAAUACGUGCUUAGCAAACGCGUGAUCGGAUUCUCUUAUUGAAAAAGUAUUUGAUGAAUCUCUUGAGCUGGGCGAUAGAAGAAACGGCAGACUAUGGAAGAAACCAGAGGAAACUUUGCUCAUAUUUACAAUGUUUAGCUUCCACUAUAGUUGCACUAUUUAGUUAUCGUGAUGGGAAAGUUUAUCCAUGAUAUGGUGGCGCGAUCGGCUGCACAUAGAUACAUCUUACAUACGGUGAACGAGGGAAUAUCGCAAAUUCCCUGACGGCACGGAUGGCAAAGGCAUUCUGGCGUAGCAAUUACCUGCAGGGCGAGGGAGUCAAGUAGCAAUAUCUGGACCCGUUAUCCAGUUCGGUUAUCCCGACUGGAAUGCUUUGUGUCGCCGGCAAUCUGCAUUUCUACCUGUUUGAAUGGAAGUCUAUGAGAUCCGCGGCAUGAUUUCAAAUGAAAUCGACUCUUUGUCCCCUGGCCGGAAAUUUCCAAUUCAAUAACGCGCCCAGGGAAACGCUGUAGAAACGACCGAUUGAUUGAUACUCGGAAUUGGAUGGAACGCGAAAGGAUGGAAAAAGUUUUACUGCCGGUCGAUCGUCAUUCGAGAAAUUUGAAUGUCUUACAUGUAACCAAGAGCUAAUCUUGAAUCGACUCGUUGGAUCUUAUUAAAGUUAUUAUUCAACUUUGUAUACGUGCGUAUUACACGUUACGAAUACUACAUAUCGGGAAACCAACUGGUGUAUUGCUUCCUUUAGUUGGCUUUGGGAGAUUUUCUUCCAUUGGAACCUAUGAAUGACUAGUCAAGAACUUGCCCGGCAACCCUUUGCAAUGCAUUAGAAUUUCGCAGCUAUCAAGGGAGGAAGGCGACAUUAGCAUCGAGGCUAAGGACACCCUUGCUUCGCGUUCGCGUCUUAUGUUUUCGUCGGCCCGGUAUUCAUGAACGGGGUUCUGACGUGGGGCAUUCGACUUCCUUCUCCUUCAUGAAUUUACAAUCGACCGAAGGAAAUGCGCAGACGAAGCUUGCGCGUGCCAUUCCCUGAGAAACAGUGCUAAAUACCAGAAGCUUCAAUGUUCAUUCCAUCGUUUUAGGUAUGAGUUAUAAGAUUUGACAUAAUGUAUACUUAAAGAACAAUGGGAUAGAAACACUUUUAACGCAAUAUAUGCAUAUAAUUUUUAUUCUUUUUUGAGAAAUUAUCACUGACAUCACAGAGACAUAUUGAGUACUUCGUAGUUGUACAUACGUAAGUACUUUUAUAGAUUCCACAAUAGUUGUCAGAAAUGACUAAAAAGCCGACAGUUCUGCUAAUCGUAUCAAGUUACGGCAACAAAUCCAUGGUCCAGCUAAUAAGAACGCUAGUGUCGAAGGAUGAGGGAAAGAGAGAAAUAAUAACGAGGAAGAUAGAGAUUGGAGGUUUAGUGGGCGAGGGUGAAUGUGGUGAGGGAAAGCGGAUGGAGGCUGGAGCCACGUGCUGCUGUCACUGGCACAGAUUAUAUUAUAUAGGAAUGGCAGCGAAUAGGUGUAGAUAUAAGCGUCGAGCGGCAGUUAAUAAAUAUGAUAAUGGCGGGCGAAGUGAGAGAAAGAGAGGGGUGUGUGGGGUGCGAUAUGGGAUACCAGUGUAUAAGAGUGACCACCAGAAGCAGAGGCCUGUCACCGUCAGGACCUCUCGUAUGUCAUGCGACGCACGCACGUAUACAUACAUGCACAUACAAAGUGGCGACACGCGCGCGAUGACAGCAUCGAGCGUGGAACGCGUGCUACUAUCUUUUUCUUCCAUUUUUCUGUUCUUUGCUGUGAUAUAAUCGUUGACGCGAUUACUUGAUUCCAAUGACAACUAUUUAAAUAAAAAAGCUGGCUGUCUUCCUUAAAUUUGUCAACUUUUUUACUUUUAGGAACUGUUUUAGUUUAUGUUUCUACGACACAUUCGUUGGAGUGAUAUAUCAACACGUACUGCGUUUGCAGAGUCGUAGUAAGUGUUAGAAUCGUAAACGUCCUAUCUAAUCGUCUUAAUAAAAGCAUUCGAUGCAAUUAUUAUGCAAUUAACAGGACAUAUAUUGUCCUUCGCUUUAGAUCUCUCAGAAGAUCUACAAAUUACACCACGGAAGAUCACACGACCUAGGAAAUACAUGGAAACGCAAAAUCGUUGAAGGGUCAUCGUCGUCAGUGGUGGCAGUAAUUCGCGAAAUUUCAUAAUAUCACGACGAACCGUUGGAGCAGGAAAGGAAAAAAAAGAGCGAAGAAUACGGCCGGUUUCCCCUCGGCUUUCAUUAAUCUCACUUCCUCCGCGGAAGUCGGAAACAGUUUUCUGCUGUGCAACCUUUCCCUUUUGACCCGGUAAAUUGCGCGCGCGCGGGCGCACGCACGCCAGCCACAUCGUGUACCUGUAUCCGCUCUUCCAGGAGCAAUUAGUCACGGUGCUCUUGAUAAAUCGCCGGAAUCCUACCCCCGUGGGGUUAAGUCCCGGCUGUAGACCCUCAGCAAAUAUCCAAUAACAGGCGUCCGACUCCUGGCGGUCGCUUCGCCUCUCUACGCGUAUAACCGGGUAUUAACCUUCACCUAUCGAGGAGAUCGGCUUACCUUAAUAAUCGUAGAGCUACACCGUCGCAGUCUAAGGGGGUUACGACGUUACGAGGCCAGGAACACGCGGCGCUGGCUCGCGCAAGGGUGUUUCCAUGGCACUAGUCGCAAGACUGGUUCGUUCCGCACCAUGAGAAACAGGUAUGAUCAAAAAUCGUCGGAGAUGUAAUGAAACAUUCUUAACCUCUUCUCUCUUGGAUAGAAUGUUGGAUAGGAGAAGUGCGGGAUCGUUUGUUGGAUUUGAUUGGGGCUUUGAUUUCUCCAUGUGGAGGAGCAUAUAAUUGGUCGAGUUUCUGAGAAUUGUAUAAAUAUCUUUUCCAUUUCUUAAUUCUAUGGUACGUGAUGGGUGCUACGAUAAGUUGAUAACGAUGAAAAAUGAUAUAGGU